GUGAUGUCUACUUUAUAUAAAUAUAUACUUUUGUGUGGCAAUUUUGUUUUAUUUUAUGGCUAUUAAGCUUACAAGACAAACAUACCAAAUUCUAAAAUUGUUCCACAUUAAAAGUUUAUUUUACUCCUUGUGCUUUGUGACCUGUAACUACCAAAAAAAAACUUUAAAUCCCAGAUACAUUAUAUAUUCUGUAAAUCAGAACAACUAAAUGAAUUUAUUUUUAAUUACUUUCCUUAACCUGCACUAAUUAUGCACACAUUAUUAUUGCAAAAACUGUAAAAAAA